rnacentral:rRNA from 1 species
AUUGAACGCUGGCGGCAGGCCUAACACAUGCAAGUCGAGCGGAUGACGGGAGCUUGCUCCUUGAUUCAGCGGCGGACGGGUGAGUAAUGCCUAGGAAUCUGCCUGGUAGUGGGGGACAACGUUUCGAAAGGAACGCUAAUACCGCAUACGUCCUACGGGAGAAAGCAGGGGACCUUCGGGCCUUGCGCUAUCAGAUGAGCCUAGGUCGGAUUAGCUAGUUGGUGAGGUAAUGGCUCACCAAGGCGACGGUCCGUAACUGGUCUGAGAGGAUGAUCAGUCACACUGGAACUGAGACACGGUCCAGACUCCUACGGGAGGCAGCAGUGGGGAAUAUUGGACAAUGGGCGAAAGCCUGAUCCAGCCAUGCCGCGUGUGUGAAGAAGGUCUUCGGAUUGUAAAGCACUUUAAGUUGGGAGGAAGGGCAGUAAGUUAAUACCUUGCUGUUUUGACGUUACCGACAGAAUAAGCACCGGCUAACUCUGUGCCAGCCGCCGCCGUAA